rnacentral:rRNA from 1 species
AUGGGAACGCGAAGAACCUUACCUAGACUUGACAUCUCCUGAAUAGUGUAGAGAUACAUGAAGCCCUUCGGGGCAGGAAGACAGGUGGUGCAUGGUUGUCGUCAGCUCGUGUCGUGAGAUGUUGGGUUAAGUCCCGCAACGAGCGCAACCCUUAUUACUAGUUGCUACCAUUAAGUUGAGCACUCUAGUGAGACUGCCCGGGGUUAACCGGGAGGAAGGCGGGGAUGACGUCAAAUCAUCAUGCCCCUUACUGUCUAGGGCAACACACGUGCUACAAUGGUGAGUACAGAUAGAUGCGAUACCGCAAGGUGGAGCCAAACUCUAAAACUCAUCCCAGUUCGGAUUGUAGGCUGCAACUCGCCUACAUGAAGUUGGAGUUGCUAGUAAUCGCGAAUCAGAAUGUCGCGGUGAAUACGUUCCCGGGUCU